rnacentral:rRNA from 1 species
UACGUAGGGUGCAAGCGUUAAUCGGAAUUACUGGGCGUAAAGCGUGCGCAGGCGGUUUUGUAAGUCUGUCGUGAAAGCCCCGGGCUCAACCUGGGAAUUGCGAUGGAGACUGCAAGGCUUGAAUCUGGCAGAGGGGGGUAGAAUUUCACGUGUAGCAGUGAAAUGCGUAGAGAUGUGGAGGAACACCGAUGGCGAAGGCAGCCCCCUGGGUCAAGAUUGACGCUCAUGCACGAAAGCGUGGGGAGCAAACAGG